rnacentral:rRNA from 1 species
CGUGCCAGCAGCCGCGGUAAUACGUAGGGGGCAAGCGUUGUCCGGAAUUAUUGGGCGUAAAGGGCUCGUAGGCGGUUUCUUAAGUCUGAUGUGAAAGCCCACAGCUCAACUGUGGAGGGUCAUUGGAAACUGGGGAACUUGAGUGCAGAAGAGGAGAGUGGAAUUCCACGUGUAGCGGUGAAAUGCGUAGAUAUGUGGAGGAACACCAGUGGCGAAGGCGACUCUCUGGUCUGUAACUGACGCUG